rfam:Brachypodium distachyon strain Bd21 chromosome 3, whole genome shotgun sequence.
UGCCGUGAUGAUUGCUUACUUCUGACACCUCUUGUACGAGAAGCGCCUCAAAAAGCGCUUCGCUGAGCAGAUCACAGCAACUGUUAUCUGAGCA